GUGUCAGCAGCCGCGGUAAUACAGAGGUCCCAAGCGUUGUUCGGAAUUAUUGGGCGUAAAGGGUGCGUAGGCGGUAGGAUAAGUUAGAUGUGAAAUGUCGGCGCUUAACGUCGAACCUGCAUUUAAGACUGUCCUGCUUGAGCGCUAGAGAGGAGUCUGGAAUUUACGGUGUAGCAGUGAAAUGCGUAGAUAUCGUAAGGAAGGCCAGUGGCGAAAGCGAGACUCUGGCUAGAUGCUGACGCUGAGGCACGAAAGCUGGGGGAGCAAACGGGAUUAGAAACCCGCGUAGUCC
rnacentral:rRNA from 1 species